UACGUAGGGUGCAAGCGUUAAUCGGAAUUACUGGGCGUAAAGCGUGCGCAGGCGGUUUUGUAAGUCUGACGUGAAAUCCCCGGGCUCAACCUGGGAAUUGCGUUGGAGACUGCAAGGCUAGAAUCUGGCAGAGGGGGGUAGAAUUCCACGUGUAGCAGUGAAAUGCGUAGAGAUGUGGAGGAACACCGAUGGCGAAGGCAGCCCCCUGGGUCAAGAUUGACGCUCAUGCACGAAAGCGUGGGGAGCAAACAGG
rnacentral:rRNA from 2 species